UAGGGAAUCUUCCACAAUGGACGCAAGUCUGAUGGAGCAACGCCGCGUGAGUGAAGAAGGUUUUCGGACCGUAAAGCUCUGUUGUUGGUGAAGAAGGAUAGAGGUAGUAACUGGCCUUUAUUUGACGGUAAUCAACCAGAAAGUCACGGCUAACUGCGUGCCAGCAGCCGCGGUAAUACGUAGGUGGCAAGCGUUGUCCGGAUUUAUUGGGCGUAAAGCGAGCGCAGGCGGAAGAAUAAGUCUGAUGUGAAAGCCCUCGGCUUAACCGAGGAAUUGCAUCGGAAACUGUUUUCUUGAGUGCAGAAGAGGAGAGUGGAACUCCAUGUGUAGCGGUGGAAUGCGUAGAUAUAUGGAAGAACACCAGUGGCGAAGGCGGCUCUCUGGUCUGCAACUGACGCUGAGGCUCGAAAGCAUGGGUAGCGAACAGGAUUAGAUACCCUGGUAGUCCAUGCCGUAAACGAUGAGUGCUAAGUGUUGGGAGGUUUUCCGCCUCUCAGUGCUGCAGCUAACGCAUUAAGCACUCCGCCUGGGGGAGUACGACCGCAAGGUUGAAAC
rnacentral:rRNA from 1 species